AACUUUUAGCAAUGGAUCACUUGGCUCUCGCAUCGAUGAAGAACGCAGCGAAAUGCGAUACGUAAUGUGAAUUGCAAAAUUCAGUGAAUCAUCGAAUCUUUGAACGCACCUUGCGCCCCUUGGAAUUCCGAGGGGCACACCCGUUUGAGUGUCGUGAACAUCCUUCAACCUUUCUUGGUUUCUUAACCGGGGAAGGCUUGGACUUUGGGGGUCUUUCAUUGCUGGCCUCUUUGAAGCCAGCUCCUCCUAAAUGGAUUAGUGUGGUCUGCUUUGCCGAUCCUUGACGUGAUAAGAUGUUUCUACGUCUUGGGUUUCGCACUGUCGCUUUAGACCCCGCUUCUAACCGUCUUGCAUUCAAGACAGAGUUUUAAACCUUGACCUCAAAUCGGGUGAGACUACCCGCUGAACUUAAGCAUAUCAAUAAGCGGAGGCU
rnacentral:misc_RNA from 1 species